rnacentral:rRNA from 1 species
CCAAGGAGUCUGACAUGUGCGCGAGUCAUGGGGUUCUACGAAACCUAAAGGCACAAUGAAAGUGAAGGCCGCCUCCGGUUGGCCCAGGUAGGAUCCGUCGACCCGUCGGCGGCGCACUACCGGCCCGUUCCGUCCGCGCUGUCGGUGGAGCGGAGCAAGAGCGUACACGUUGGGACCCGAAAGAUGGUGAACUAUGCCUGAGUAGGACGAAGCCAGAGGAAACUCUGGUGGAGGUCCGUAGCGAUUCUGACGUGCAAAUCGAUCGUCAAACUUGGGUAUAGGGGCGAAAGACUAAUCGAACCAUCUA